AGAGUUUGAUCCUGGCUCAGGAUAAACGCUGGCGGCGCACAUAAGACAUGCAAGUCGAACGGACUUAACUCAUUCUUAUAGAUUGAGAGCGGUUAGUGGCGGACUGGUGAGUAAUGUAUAAGUAACCUGCCUAUUAGAGGGGAACAACAGUUGGAAACGACUGCUAAUACCGCAUAUGCCAUAAGAAUCACAUGGUUCAAGUGGGAAAGGAGAAAUCCGCUAAUAGAUGGACUUAUAUCUGAUUAGCUAGUUGGUAAGGUAACGGCUUACCAAGGCAACGAUCAGUAGCCGAACUGAGAGGUUAAACGGCCACAUUGGGACUGAGAUACGGCCCAGACUCCUACGGGAGGCAGCAGUCGGGAAUAUUGCGCAAUGGAGGAAACUCUGAUGCAGUGACGCCGCGUGCAGGAAGAAGGUUUUCGGAUUGUAAACUGCUUUAGACAGGGAAGAAAAAAGACAGUACCUGUAGAAUAAGCUCCGGCUAACUACGUGCCAGCAGCCGCGGUAAUACGUAGGGAGCGAGCGUUAUCCGGAUUUAUUGGGUGUAAAGGGUGCGUAGACGGGAGAUUAAGUUAGUCGUGAAAGCCCACGGCUCAACUGUGGAAUUGCAACUAAAACUGAUUUCUUGAGUAUGGAGAAGAAAUGUGAAUUCCUAGUGUAGCGGUGGACAGGGGUAGAUAUUAGGAGGAACACCAGUGGCGAAGGCGACUUUCUGGACAAAAACUGACGUUGAGGCACGAAAGUGUGGGGAGCAAACAGGAUUAGAUACCCUGGUAGUCCACACUGUAAACGAUGGAUACUAGGUGUAGGGUGUGAUAAACGCUCUGUGCCGUCGCAAACGCAAUAAGUAUCCCACCUGGGGAGUACGGCCGCAAGGUUGAAACUCAAAGGAAUUGACGGGGGCCCGCACAAGCAGUGGAGUAUGUGGUUUAAUUCGAAGCAACGCGAAGAACCUUACCAGGGCUUGACAUAUACAGGAAUAUAUAAGAGAUUAUAUAGCUCUUCGGAGUCUGUAUACAGGUGGUGCAUGGUUGUCGUCAGCUCGUGUCGUGAGAUGUUAGGUUAAGUCCUGCAACGAGCGCAACCCCUAUUCUUAGUUACCAGCAUGUAAAGAUGGGAACUCUAGGAAGACUGCCGGUGAUAAAUCGGAGGAAGGUGGGGACGACGUCAAAUCAUCAUGCCCUUUAUGUCCUGGGCUACACACGUACUACAAUGGCUAUAACAAAGGGAAGCAAAAUAGAGAUAUGGAGCAAAACCCAAAAAAGUAGUCUCAGAUCGGAUUGAAGGGUGAAAUUCGCCUUCAUGAAGCCGGAAUUGCUAGUAAUGGCAGGUCAGCAUACUGCCGUAAUACUUCCGGGCCUGUACACACCGCCC
rnacentral:rRNA from 1 species